rnacentral:rRNA from 1 species
UAAAGAUUCAUCGGCUGCGGAUGGCCAUGCGGCGCAUUAGCUAGUCGGCGGGGUAACGGCCCACCGAGGCGACGAUGCGUAGGGGUUCUGAGAGGAAGGUCCCCCACACUGGUACUGAGACACGGACCAGACUCCUACGGGAGGCAGCAGUGAGGAAUAUUGGUCAAUGGCCGGGAGGCUGAACCAGCCAAGUCGCGUGAGGGAAGACGGCCCUACGGGUUGUAAACCUCUUUUGUCAGGGAGCAAGAGGCGGGUCGGGACCUGCUGUGAGAGUACCUGAAGAAAAAGCAUCGGCUAACUCCGUGCCAGCAGCCGCGGUAAUACGGAGGAUGCGAGCGUUAUCCGGAUUUAUUGGGUUUAAAGGGUGCGCAGGCGGAGGCACAAGUCAGCGGUAAAAUCGCGGGGCUCAACCCCGCUCCGCCGUUGAAACUGUGUCCCUUGAGUGCGCGAAGGGUAGGCGGAAUGCGUGGUGUAGCGGUGAAAUGCAUAGAUAUCACGCAGAACUCCGAUCGCGAAGGCAGCCUACCGGCGCGCAACUGACGCUCAUGCACGAAAGCGUGGGUAUCGAACAGGAUUAGAUACCCUGGUAGUCCACGCAGUAAACGAUGAAUGCUAUCUGUCCGGCCGGAAUGACGGCUGG